rnacentral:rRNA from 1 species
UACGUAGGGUGCAAGCGUUGUCCGGAAUUAUUGGGCGUAAAGAGCGUGUAGGCGGCCUGAAAGGUCAGCUGUGAAACUCGAGGCUCAACCUCGAGACGUCGGUUGAAACCAUCUGGCUAGAGUCCGGAAGAGGAGUGUGGAAUUCCCGGUGUAGCGGUGAAAUGCGCAGAUAUCGGGAAGAACACCCGUGGCGAAGGCGGCACUCUGGGACGGUACUGACGCUGAGACGCGCAAAGCGUGGGAGGCGAA